rnacentral:rRNA from 2 species
AGAGUUUGAUCAUGGCUCAGGAUGAACGCUAGCGACAGGCCUAACACAUGCAAGUCGAGGGGCAUCGGGAUGUAGCAAUACAUUGCCGGCGACCGGCGCACGGGUGAGUAACGCGUAUGCAACCUGCCCACAGCAGGGGGAUAGCCCGUUGAAAGACGGAUUAAUACCGCAUAACACAGGGGUUCCGCAUGGGACUAUUUGUUAAAGGGUAUCUAUUUGGAUAUUUCGGCUGUGGAUGGGCAUGCGUUCCAUUAGGUAGUUGGUGAGGUAACGGCUCACCAAGCCGACGAUGGAUAGGGGAACUGAGAGGUUUGUCCCCCACACUGGUACUGAGAUACGGACCAGACUCCUACGGGAGGCAGCAGUGAGGAAUAUUGGUCAAUGGACGGAAGUCUGAACCAGCCAAGUCGCGUGAAGGAUGACGGCCCUAGGGGUUGUAAACUUCUUUUGCAGCAGAAUAAAGGGUGCCACGAGUUGGCAUAUUGCCUGUAUGCUGCGAAUAAGGAUCGGCUAACUCCGUGCCAGCAGCCGCGGUAAUACGGAGGAUCCGAGCGUUAUCCGGAUUUAUUGGGUUUAAAGGGUGCGCAGGCGGGAUGUUAAGUCGGCGGUGAAAUUUUGCGGCUCAACCGUAAAAGUGCCAUCGAAACUGGCAUUCUUGAGGGUGGAUGAAGUAGGCGGAAUUUGUGGUGUAGCGGUGAAAUGCAUAGAUAUCACAAAGAACACCGAUUGCGGAGGCAGCUUACUAAACCACCACUGACGCUCAGGCACGAAGGCGUGGGGAUCAAACAGGAUUAGAUACCCUGGUAGUCCACGCAGUAAACGAUGAUUACUGGCUGUUUGCGAUAUAAUGUAAGCGGCUGAGCGAAAGCGUUAAGUAAUCCACCUGGGGAGUACGUUCGCAAGAAUGAAACUCAAAUGAAUUGACGG